GAUGAACGCUGACAGAAUGCUUAACACAUGCAAGUCAACUUGAAUUUGGGUUUUUAACUUAGAUUUGGGUGGCGGACGGGUGAGUAACGCGUAAAGAACUUGCCUCACAGCUAGGGACAACAUUUAGAAAUGAAUGCUAAUACCUGAUAUUAUGAUUUUAAGGCAUCUUAGAAUUAUGAAAGCUAUAAGCACUGUGAGAGAGCUUUGCGUCCCAUUAGCUAGUUGGAGAGGUAACAGCUCACCAAGGCGAUGAUGGGUAGCCGGCCUGAGAGGGUGAACGGCCACAAGGGGACUGAGACACGGCCCUUACUCCUACGGGAGGCAGCAGUGGGGAAUAUUGGACAAUGGACCGAGAGUCUGAUCCAGCAAUUCUGUGUGCACGAUGAAGUUUUUCGGAAUGUAAAGUGCUUUCAGUUGGGAAGAAAAAAAUGACGGUACCAACAGAAGAAGUGACGGCUAAAUACGUGCCAGCAGCCGCGGUAAUACGUAUGUCACGAGCGUUAUCCGGAUUUAUUGGGCGUAAAGCGCGUCUAGGUGGUUAUGUAAGUCUGAUGUGAAAAUGCAGGGCUCAACUCUGUAUUGCGUUGGAAACUGUAUAACUAGAGUACUGGAGAGGUAAGCGGAACUACAAGUGUAGAGGUGAAAUUCGUAGAUAUUUGUAGGAAUGCCGAUGGGGAAGCCAGCUUACCGGACAGAUACUGACGCUAAAGCGCGAAAGCGUGGGUAGCAAACAGG
rnacentral:rRNA from 1 species